CUGCCGCCGUCGCUGUCGGGGUUUCUGGUCAAUGGGUAUGGCGCUGUUGUUGCUGGAACCACCACCGGUGCUGCCGCUACUUGUUUCCCUUAAGUCCGAGUCGUUGUAGUUGCUGAGAAAGUGAUUUGGAGCUGAGGCUGUGGCUGCCGCAAUUUCGGGUUGAGAGGAAAGGUUCCGUCGGCGCGUUUGAAUUAUAGUUUCAACAAUCGAGAACUAUAGCCAGCUCUAUCUUAUCGCUACUCCGGUUCAAAUUCUACGCUCAUUCGUUCCAUUCCACUUCAAUCCUCCUUACCUUGAAUUUGGCACGUAUCUUCGGUUCCUAGGGACUAGGUUGUGAGUAGGCUUUACAUUUAUAAUUGUUUGAUUGUGCAUCUAUAACUAUUUUGACAUAUAUCUAUUAUGAUCUUUGAAUUAUAUUCACUAUAUUUGCCUAGAACGGUUUUAAAUUGAUUAGAAUAAUUGAUUUAUUAAAAUUGAAUAAUUUAUUUUUAUGAAGUUUAUACUUUUGGAACUAUACAUGAGACUAUAUAUAAUUUUGAUGAAGUUUUGCAUUAUUCUAAAAUGUUUGAUUUUAUUUGAAUAUUUGUUUUUGAAGCAUUGAAGUAUUUGUUGAUACUCACUUUAAAAAUUGUGAAAUAUAUUUGAUGGUAGGAUCACAAUUGUAUAAAUAGAAGCGCGCCUAUUUGUACGAAUUGUGGCACUAUCAGAGGCCUAUAGGAUUGUCAUUCUUGUCCUUUAUGUCGUUGUUGUCAUCUGAUUGUAACAUAUGACCUCUACCGUUUCUUGCCACUCUUUUCCUUUCCAGCCGCUUCUUGCUACUCUUUUCCUUUCCUGCCGCUUCUUGCGACUCUUUUCCUUCCCUUUGUACCCAAUCUCGACUUAUUCUCUAAUAGAUUUAAAGUUUGUGAAAUUUUUUUCAUCGAAAUAGAAUGUUUUGAGUAAUGGUACAUAAUAUGAAUUGAUAUUUAGCCCCACUUUCAUCUACUUUAAGACAUUAAAUCAUUAUAUUGUUUUAGGUUCUGUUCGAUCUUUAAUUGUUAUGAUCCGUUUGAAAUGUGUUUAUUUAGUUUCUAGUUAAACAUAAUUGAUUUUAAAGAAACUAAAUCCACAGCAUGAGUUUCUUUGAGAAAGUUUUGUCUUUGUCCAAGAUCAUUGAAAUUUCCAUAGUUGAUAUUAACAUUUGGAUGUUAACCAAAUUGAGUGCUAAAGUUCUAUACUUAGUAUAACUGGUUGUAUGAAAAACACAUUUGAGCUUCACUCAGGUAAAAUCUUCAUCUUUAUAUGUUAUUAAGUGAAUACGUCUCUUAGAUUAUAUGUGAUUUCUAAUUUUAUAGGCUUGUUUGCUGAGCUUGUGGACUGAUCAUGGUGAUUAUGAAGCAUUUGAUGAUUAUUUUAAAUAUGAUAAAUUGUAGCUUGCUUAUGAGUAGUAGCCACUGAUUAGAUACUUGUUUGCUGAUUCAUGUCAUUUGAUUAGUGAUUAUUACAGUAAUUAACAAGUAAAUGAUUUUGGUUAAUUAUUUGAGAGAUCCAUAAGGUUAUUGGUUUUUUGCUGCUGUAUAGGAGUUGAUCUUAUUAUUUGUUGCUGAAUUGGUGACUGAUGUGACUGUAACUAGGUGAAUCUUAGUUGUUAUCUUGUAAAAAUUUCUAUUGAAAGGCGGUAAUAAACCCUCUUAAUUGCUUGUGUUAUUGUUGGAGAUUAUAUGCCUGAUUUGUAGUUAUAUAUGGCAGAUUAAUAAAUGUUUUGAUUUUUUUGAUACGAUGAGGACUUGAUAAUUUCGAAUUGAAGUUUGUCAUGAUAAACUUGUGAUCUGUACAAUACUUUUGUGACACACUUGAGCAUCUGAAAUUUUUUCCUUCAAAAUUAAUUAUUUUAUUGACUAGAAAAGUUGUUCCAACUCUUUCAGCAUGUUAUUCUAAAGUUUACUCAAUAUUAUCUCAUUGGUGGUCCAUUAUAUGAUGCUUAACGUAAAAGUUAGUUACUCUAGUCAGCACUAUAAGAUUUAUGUAAAAAUGUUUAGUAUUGCAUUCACAUUCUCAAUAAAAAAAAAUGUUUAAUGACCUUGCCUCGUUUAUUUUUCUUUUUUCUACAUUGUUUUUUUUUUUUAAAAAAAAAAACCUAAUUAAAUUUUUAACAUGUCAAAACUAUCAAGUAUUGUGCUUAUCAUAUAAUCUGUGUUAUGUGACGAUUUCUUAUAUAUAGGAUUAUCGUGUUUCUAUUUUUAGAGUGGCACAUUUUUUACAAUUUUCUGAUGAAUGUUCAUUUUGCUUUGCUUUAUUUAUGGGUUUAGCUUAUCUAUUCACAUGCCGUGUCUAAUUAUGUUUUUUUUUUUCUUUCCUUUUCUCUAGUUUAAAUGGUUGUUGUACAUGUAAAACCUUUUUAUGUCUAUUAUUCAUACUCGUGAAUUUUUAUUUUGCUCUGCCCAAAUUGUUUGUAGAUUUGGCUUGUUUCUUCAUUUUUUCCCCUUAAAAUGCUCCUAGCCCGUGGUUUUAGUUGUGGUGGUACAUCUUUUUAUUUACCUCUAUAGCCUUUGCCCUUACAAAGUUACAAUUAUAUUUUUGUACGUAUUUCAAAAGUUGUGUGUUGUGUUACUUUGUAGUGACACACCGACGAUUUCUUUGGUUUUUAAGUAAUGCCAAGCAUCAUAAAUGUUUUUGUCAAUAAACUAUUUUUGUUACUAUAUAAUUUUCUCAAAUGAUGGUUGUGAAAUGAAUUGAGUUGCGAAUGGAUGUUUGAUUCAGAUCUAUCAUCGCUUAUUGGGUGCAGAUGCUUUAUAUGCUUCUGGUGAUUGUGUGAUUGCAGACUAUGUGCUCUAGUGUAAUAAAUUUAUCAGCUUGUCCUUUUACAGCCUAUUGAGCUUUGAUUCAUUUGUUUUAAUAGUGAAAGGCAGUGAAAUAAAUUAGUUUUGUACUUUUGGCUGGAUUAUCUUGGCUAAUAGGAUUGUUGUUUUUGUUAUGUAGUUUUGAAUUUUGGUAAUAUUUAGUAGCUGGCUUUGUAUUAAGUUACUCCUUCUUACUGAUGGUUUCAAAAAAAAAAAAAGGAGUUUUUUCUUUUUCUGAUUUUGUUUCAUUUGCAGAAUCAAUAUUUUCUAUUAUCCCAUGGUUUUGUUGAUUAUCUAACUAUGUUGCGGAUUCUACUUUGUUUGCCCAAUAAGGAUUUUAAUUGAUUAAAGAGUCUCUGCAUUGAGGGUUUUGUGUUAAGUUGUUCCUUUUUGGCCAAAUUUUUUCUUGGUAACAAUCACAGUAUAUUUUGAAUAUUGUCUGUUAGAAAUUCUGAAAAUUGACUGUUUUACUACUAGUAUUUUGCCUUAGUUCAUAGCCCACAUCUUAGGUUGACAUUUCUUCAUACGUUAAGGGUUUGAUUAUCAGUUGUACUAUUAUUCUUUAAAUUUGCACAUCAUGAUCUAAGUACAAUUUAUUUUAAAUUGUUGUAUCAACCAUUUUUCUUCUAAAGAUAUAUAGGUUUUGCAAAGUUCUUAACAUGAUCGAAUUUUUGAGGCAGUCACAUUGAUUCAUUAGUCUGCUGCUUAACUGAUCCUAUGUUGUAUGACUUUUUUGAGACAUCACUUUGCUGGUUUCAAGUUGCUCAGGAUUGCAACUAAUUGAAAUAUGUUGUCGUCUGUCGAUAUUCUUGAGCUUCACUAAAUCCGUGGUUCUAUUACUCCUUGAGUGCGCUGCAUUGUAAUGGUGGUUGAGUAAUGAAAUUCAAAACUUUGCUAGAUUGGUGGUAUUGUUUCCCAACUAAUGGCAUUUUGUUUGUUUAUCAAUUGGUGUAUAUGUAGCACAUUUGUUAGUUUAUUAUUUGGGAUUGUCGAUUGCUAACCUAAAGGAUGGCUAGGGCCAAUGCUAUGUUUGAGUAAGCGGAACUAUUCAUACUAAUAUGCUGCUUUCACAAUGCCCUUAAAGAGCCUUGUAGAUCGAUUAAAUUCCUUCCUUCUGUUUAACCUUCCUACCUCUUAUCACUCGACAUUUAAGGUUAAUAUGCAUAAUAUGAUUUGAAAAUGUUUUGCUGGCUAUAUCUUGCAUGCUUGGUUUGAUGUGGUGGUUAUGUUUGUCUCUAAAUCUGGAAUCUGGCCAUGUAUAUUAUGCUUAAUUAUUCACCUUGCCUCUCUUUUUUUCUCAUCCUUAUCCACCACAUAAUUGAACUCGAACUCUUGGAAUCUCAUAUGACUGUGCUUUUUAAUUAUUGCUUUAUAUUUUGGGUGUAUUGUUGGAAUUUGUGUUACUCUAUAUGUUUUACACUUUUGGCUAUGUUAUUUGGACUCCAAUUAGAGUUUGUAGUGUGCUUUUGAAAUUUUUCAUAUCAUUCUAAUUAUGCAAUCUGUUCUUUGUGAUUGAUGGUGCUUCAUAUCGAUUCCUUUUGCUACAUUGUAUAUGUGAAUAUUAAGAAAAUGUACAGCAUUUGAUCGUUGCAUAAUAUUUGCAAAAUGAUUUUCUUUAUGCAUUGGGUUCAAUUUGUAUCUGGAUAUAAUAUUGUAUAGUUAAACUGCUUAAGUUCUUUCCUGCAACUUUGCUCAGAUAGCUUGAUUUUUAGCCUUGUUCUUGCUAUCUAUUUGUGCAAAUUAUUAAACUUAUGCUGUCAUGAUGUGGUUAUAUUUCUUUCGGAUAAGGUUGUCUCAAUGUUGUUUUCUUUCCUUAUUCCUAAAUGCAUCAUUUCUUGCAUCAGGGUCUAGUUGUACGAAAUAGAUGUGACUUGUACUGCCGAAGAGGCAAUAUAAAUAGCAAGUUGGUUUGAAAUUCGGGGACCGAAUUUCUAAAGGAAGGGAGGAAUGUAAUAGCUCAAAAAAAAAAAAACAAAUUUGUGGGCCACUCUUCCUUUACUUUUUUCCUAACCCUAAUCACACAAACACACUCUCUCAACCCUCAGUCCCUCACUAGCCGUUGAGAUCCCACCCCCGCUCCUCACACACCCUCUUCGUAGAAACACACACUCACGGACGCACUCCCCUCGCUCACCCUCACGCCGUCGCUCAUCCCCACACACACGCACCUACACUGACGCGGAGAAGAGACGGAGGUCGCUGUUGCUGUUCAUGCCCAUCGUUGCCAACUGCGCCAUCGCGGAGGAACGACUUUAUCGUCGCGAGCUGCAACCGCCGCCAUUGAAGCCACCCUCGCCGUCGUCCUUGAGCACUAGUGAGAGGGAGAGCUCGAGGAAGAGAGGAACGCUGUCCCGCUAUGCACCGUCGUCACUGGAGCUGCACCGCCGCCGAAGGCCCACCGCCGUCCGUGGAGAGUCGUCGCCGUCUGGGUCGCUGCCGGAGGAAGAGAGCUUGCACAAGGGGUUGCUGGAGUGGCUCGCCGCUGCUGCAAGAGCCACUGCACCUCUGGCCGCUGGGAAGUCACAUUGAGGUCGCCGUUCGUCUGCCGCCGCCGCUGUCGAGGUUUCUGGUCAAUGGGUAUGGCGCUGUUGUUGCUGGAACCACCACCGGUGCUGCCGCUACUUGUUUCCCUUAAGUCCGAGUCGUUGUAGUUGCUGAGAAAGUGAUUUGGAGCUGAGGCUGUGGCUGCCGCAAUUUCGGGUUGAGAGGAAAGGUUCCGUCGGCGCGUUUGGAUUAUAGUUUCAACAAUCGAGAACUAUAGCCAGCUCUAUCUUGUCGCUACUCCGGUUCAAAUUCUACGCUCAUUCGUUCCAUUCCACUUCAAUCCUCCUUACCUUGAAUUUGGC
rnacentral:lncRNA from 1 species